rnacentral:rRNA from 1 species
CCUACGGGAGGCUGCAGUCGAGAAUCAUUCACAAUGGGGGAAACCCUGAUGGUGCGACGCCGCGUGGGGGAAUGAAGGUCUUCGGAUUGUAAACCCCUGUCAUGUGGGAGCAAAUUAAAAAGAUAGUACCACAAGAGGAAGAGACGGCUAACUCUGUGCCAGCAGCCGCGGUAAUACAGAGGUCUCAAGCGUUGUUCGGAAUCACUGGGCGUAAAGCGUGCGUAGGCUGUUUCGUAAGUCGUGUGUGAAAGGCGCGGGCUCAACCCGCGGACGGCACAUGAUACUGGGAGACUAGAGUACUGGAGAGGGAGCCGGAAUUCUCGGUGUAGCAGUGAAAUGCGUAGAUAUCGAGAGGAACACUCGUGGCGAAGGCGGGUUCCUGGACAUUCACUGACGCUGAGGCACGAAGGCCAGGGGAGCGAAAGGGAUUAGAUACCCUGGUAGUC